rnacentral:rRNA from 1 species
UACCGCGUGUGUGAAGAAGGCCUGAGGGUUGUAAAGCACUUUCAAUAGGGAGGAAAAAGCGUUGGUUAAUAGCUGAUGCCUUGACAUUACCUAUAGAAGAAGCACCGGCUAACUCCGUGCCAGCAGCCGCGGUAAUACGGAGGGUGCGAGCGUUAAUCGGAAUUACUGGGCGUAAAGCGUGCGUAGGUGGCUGUUUAAGUCAGAUGUGAAAGCCCCGGGCUUAACCUGGGAACGGCAUUUGAUACUGGGCAGCUAGAGUUUAGGAGAGGAGAGUGGAAUUUCCGGUGUAGCGGUGAAAUGCGUAGAGAUCGGAAGGAACACCAGUGGCGAAGGCGGCUCUCUGGCCUAAAACUGACGCUGAGGUACGAAAGCGUGGGUAGCAAACAGGAUUAGAUACCCUGGUAGUCCACGCCGUAAACGAUGUCAACUAGCCGUUGGGUCUUUAUUAAGACUUAGUGGUGCAGCUAACGCAUUAAGUUGACCGCCUGGGGAGUACGGCCGCAAGGUUAAAACUCAAAUGAAUUGACGGGGGCCCGCACAAGCGGUGGAGCAUGUGGUUUAAUUCGAUGCAACGCGAAGAACCUUACCUACCCUUGACAUCCAGAGAAUCUGUGAGAGAUCGU